rnacentral:rRNA from 1 species
ACGUUAAUCGGGGCAGGGUGAGUCGACCCCUAAGGCGAGGCCGAAAGGCGUAGUCGAUGGGAAACAGGUUAAUAUUCCUGUACUUGGUGUUACUGCGAAGGGGGGACGGAGAAGGCUAUGUUGGCCGGGCGACGGUUGUCCCGGUUUAAGCGUGUAGGCUGGUUUUCCAGGCAAAUCCGGAAAAUCAAGGCUGAGGCGUGAUGACGAGGCACUACGGUGCUGAAGCAACAAAUGCCCUGCUUCCAGGAAAAGCCUCUAAGCAUCAGGUAACAUCAAAUCGUACCCCAAACCGACACAGGUGGUCAGGUAGAGAAUACCAAGGCGCUUGAGAGAACUCGGGUGAAGGAACUAGGCAAAAUGGUGCCGUAACUUCGGGAGAAGGCACGCUGAUAUGUAGGUGAAGUCCCUCGCGGAUGGAGCUGAAAUCAGUCGAAGAUACCAGCUGGCUGCAACUGUUUAUUAAAAACACAGCACUGUGCAAACACGAAAGUGGACGUAUACGGUGUGACGCCUGCCCGGUGCCGGAAGGUUAAUUGAUGGGGUCAGCGCAAGCGAAGCUCUUGAUCGAAGCCCCGGUAAACGGCGGCCGUAACUAUAACGGUCCUAAGGUAGCGAAAUUCCUUGUCGGGUAAGUUCCGACCUGCACGAAUGGCGUAAUGAUGGCCAGGCUGUCUCCACCCGAGACUCAGUGAAAUUGAACUCGCUGUGAAGAUGCAGUGUACCCGCGGCAAGACGGAAAGACCCCGUGAACCUUUACUAUAGCUUGACACUGAACAUUGAGCCUUGAUGUGUAGGAUAGGUGGGAGGCUUAGAAGUGUGGACGCCAGUCUGCAUGGAGCCGACCUUGAAAUACCACCCUUUAAUGUUUGAUGUUCUAACGUUGACCCGUAAUCCGGGUUGCGGACAGUGUCUGGUGGGUAGUUUGACUGGGGCGGUCUCCUCCUAAAGAGUAACGGAGGAGCACGAAGGUUGGCUAAUCCUGGUCGGACAUCAGGAGGUUAGUGCAAUGGCAUAAGCCAGCUUGACUGCGAGCGUGACGGCGCGAGCAGGUGCGAAAGCAGGUCAUAGUGAUCCGGUGGUUCUGAAUGGAAGGGCCAUCGCUCAACGGAUAAAAGGUACUCCGGGGAUAACAGGCUGAUACCGCCCAAGAGUUCAUAUCGACGGCGGUGUUUGGCACCUCGAUGUCGGCUCAUCACAUCCUGGGGCUGAAGUAGGUCCCAAGGGUAUGGCUGUUCGCCAUUUAAAGUGGUACGCGAGCUGGGUUUAGAACGUCGUGAGACAGUUCGGUCCCUAUCUGCCGUGGGCGCUGGAGAACUGAGGGGGGCUGCUCCUAGUACGAGAGGACCGGAGUGGACGCAUCACUGGUGUUCGGGUUGUCAUGCCAAUGGCACUGCCCGGUAGCUAAAUGCGGAAGAGAUAAGUGCUGAAAGCAUCUAAGCACGAAACUUGCC